GUAGUCGUGGCCGAGUGGUUAAGGCGACAGACUCGAAAUCUGUUGGGAUAUUCCCGCGCAGGUUCAAAUCCUGCCGAUUACG
rnacentral:tRNA from 1 species